AGAAGCUCCUGGCAGCACCUCAGUCCACCUGCCUCCAGGGUAAUCUGCUCCAGUGCUGAACCAGCUCCAUUCAGUUCCUGCCAAGAUGUCCUGCCAGCAAAACCAGCAGCAGUGCCAGCCCCCACCCAAGUGUCCCCCCAAAUGCCCACCCAAGUGUACUCCUAAGUGUCCUCCCAAGUGCCCAGCCCCGUGUCCCCCUCCAGUGUCUUCCUGCUGUGCCCCCACUCUGGGGGCUGCUGCAGCUCUGGGGAUGGAGGCUGCUGCCUGAGCCACCAGAAGCUUCGCAGAUCUCUUCGACGCCGACAUCAGAGCUCUGGUUGCUGCGGCAGUGGGUGGCCAGCACUCUAGGGACUCUGGAUGCUGCUCUGGGGGCUCCAGCUGCUGCUCUGGGGGCUGCUGCUGAACUGGGUCAUGAAGACCAACUGAAGAGCAACACUGCAGGAUUCAAAGAGCUGAUGACCUGCCCAGCCUGAGUCUUCUCUUUUUCAGGCUUGGAAGAUUGGAAGAAGAGAACGGAAGGGCUUCUGAAACACUGCCGCCCUUCUUCUUCCUGCCACGUUCUUUCCAUGGUGAGGUCUAGAGGUUUAACCUCUGAUACUCACUGGCCUGAUUUCCCACUAGAUAUAAUUCUUUGGAGGACUCAGUAUUGGAAUUUGGGUUAUCACUAUAACCAUAAAGCUUUUUAUUCGUGGUG